rnacentral:rRNA from 1 species
UACGUAGGUGGCAAGCGUUGUCCGGAUUUAUUGGGUUUAAAGGGUGCGUAGGCGGUCUUCUACGUCAGUUGUGAAAUACUUCAGCUUAACUGGAGAGGUGCAAUUGAUACUGGAAGACUUGAGUACUGAUGAGGUAGGCGGAAUGGACGGUGUAGCGGUGAAAUGCUUAGAUAUCGUCCAGAACACCGAUAGCGAAGGCAGCUUACUAAGGAGUAACUGACGCUGAGGCACGAAAGUGUGGGGAUCAAACAGG